AGAUACCCAAGGUGUGGAUUGAUGAUCCGUCAGGAACUCGCAUGCAACAGUGGCUCAGUGCAGAAACAGAUGAGGGUCUUGCUGGCAUGGAGUUUGAACUGUCCAACCAACCUCCGCUGGGCGUGUGGAAAAUAG